rnacentral:rRNA from 1 species
UGCCUUAGUAGCGGCGAGUGAGCGGCAAAGCUCAAUUUGAAAUCUGGCACCUCUCGGUGUCCGAGUUGUAAUUUGAAGAUUGUAACCUUGGGGUUGGCUCUUGUCUAUGUUUCUUGGAACAGGACGUCACAGAGGGUGAGAAUCCCGUGCGAUGAGAUGCCCAAUCCUAUGUAAGGUGCUUUCGAAGAGUCGAGUUGUUUGGGAAUGCAGCUCUAAGUGGGUGGUAAAUUCCAUCUAAAGCUAAAUAUUGGCGAGAGACCGAUAGCGAACAAGUACAGUGAUGGAAAGAUGAAAAGAACUUUGAAAAGAGAGUGAAAAAGUACGUGAAAUUGUUGAAAGGGAAGGGUUUGAGAUCAGACUCGAUAUUUUGUGAGCCUUGCCUUCGUGGCGGGGUGACCCGCAGCUUAUCGGGGCCA